CCCUUAGAUGUUCUGGGCCGCACGCGCGCUACACUGAUGCAUUCAACGAGUCUAAAACCUGGUCUGAUAGGGCUGGGUAAUCUUUUGAAUGUGCAUCGUGAUUGGGAUAGAUGAUUGCAUUUCUUCAUCUUCAACGAGGAAUGCCUAGUAAACGCAAGUCAUCAGCUUGCAUUGAUUACGUCCCUGCCCUUUGUACACACCGCCCGUCGCUCCUACCGAUUGAAUGUUCCGAUGAAUACCAUGGACUGAGAGUAUGAAUGGGUUCGCCUAUUUCUGCUUCUCGGGAAGUGGAGUAAAUCUUAACAUUUAGAGGAAGGAGAAGUCGUAACA
rnacentral:rRNA from 1 species